UACGUAGGGGGCAAGCGUUGUCCGGAUUUAUUGGGCGUAAAGAGCGUGUAGGCGGUUAGGUAGGUCCGUUGUGAAAACUCGAGGCUCAACCUCGAGACGUCGGUUGAAACCGUAUGGCUAGAGUCCGGAAGAGGAGAGUGGAAUUCCCGGUGUAGCGGUGAAAUGCGCAGAUAUCGGGAAGAACACCCGUGGCGAAGGCGGCUCUCUGGGACGGUACUGACGCUGAGACGCGAAAGCGUGGGGAGCGAACAGG
rnacentral:rRNA from 1 species